rnacentral:lncRNA from 1 species
GCGCGCUCGCCUAGGACGACGCGAAGACGGCAGACGGUGGCGAAGCUUUGGCUUGACGACGGCGCGGUGCUGCGGCGAGCAAAAAGAAGAUACAAGCGCGUCAGAAGAUGUGCAAGGACGAGGGAAAGCAAACGGGCUAGAAAAGGUGGGCCCCACCUGUCAGUGGCAGCGGGCGCGCGCGCGGCGCGGGGCCGGUCCGGUUCGGGUUGGCUCGGCGAUGCGGGGCCGGUUCGGUUUUUCCCUUUUUUUUUCUUUUAGCCUUUUCUUUUCUCUAUUUUUCUUAUUUCUUUGAUAACUUUUGAUUUUGAACUCCAAAUUGGUCCAAAUAAAUUCCAGAAAAUUUGUAAAAUCAUGUUUUAUCAUGAUACAACUUUUGAGAGUAAUUUCCCCUCAAAAUAAAAUAUAUAAAAAUACAUUUGCCCUAUAAAUGCCUUUAGGGCUAUAUCACUAUUUAAAUAAAAUACUUUUUCAACUCCAAAUAAUUAUCCAAAAAUUAUGGGAUAGCUUAUUUAAGCACUAAACCCUUUUAUAAACAAAACCUAUUAGUUUGAAGAUCCAAAGCUCAAAUGGGUGUAAACCCUAGGGUUUAAAUUGAAAUAAAGUCUUUUCAAAGCCUUUUAAGAUUCGAAUUUGAAUUCAAAUAUUCAAUUGUGGCAUGAUGCUUAUGGAUGCAAUGCAUAUGAAAAGAUUUGAAAUUUUGGGAUGUUACAGACCUAACCCCCUUAAGAUGAAUCUCGUCCUUGAGAUUCGGUGUGGCUAGCAAAGAGGUGUGGGUGGUCUUCUCGAAGAUCAUCUUCGCGUUCCCAAGUGCUCUUCAGUGUGAUGGUCCCACUGAACUUUGCAAAACCUGAUGGUCUUGCAUCGGGUUUGUCUCUCAGUAGUAUCCAAGAUUCUGAUAGGUUUCUCCUCAUAGCUCUGCAGUUGGACUUCGUCAAGGGGUAUCGUAU